AUGUCCCGCCUCCGCCUCCGCCGCUCCUCCACCACGCCGAUGUUCCACAUCCUCCGCCGCAGCUCCUCCUCUACCUCCAUCUCGCCCCCCUCACGUUCCUGGUCUCCCGAAGGCGCCUUUGCCGCGGCCACGGCGCGUCUCAGCACUGGAACGCUCAGCCCUGAAGAAGCACACCACCUGUUCGACGAAUUGCUUCGGCAGGCCACCCCGGUCCCCAGCCGCUCCCUGAACGGCUUCCUUGCCACCCUUGCCCGUGCGCCUGCCUCCGCGGCCUGCAGCAGAGAUGGCCCUGCCCUCGCCCUCGCCCUCGCUCUCUUCAACCGCGUGUGCGCAGAAGAAGCCGACCCGCGGGUGGCGCCUCUCACAGUCCACACCUACGGCAUCCUCAUGGACUGCUGCUGCCGCGCGCGUCGCCCGGACCUGGGGCUUGCCUUAUUCGCACGCUUCCUCAGGACAGGCCUCAAGACAAAUGAGAUCAUCGCUAACACCUUCCUCAAGUGCCUCUGCUAUGCCAAACGUACAGAUGAGGCUAUCAACUUGCUGCUUCAUAGGAUGCCCGAGCUUGGCUGCGUGCCUGAUGCAAUCUCAUACACCAUUGUUCUGAAGAGCUUAUGCGAGAAUAGCAUGAGUCAGCGGGCACUCGACCUGCUCCAGAUGGUGGCAGAAGGAGGAGGUGCCUGCUCCCUCAAUGUGGUGGCGUAUAGCACAGUCAUCCAUGGCUUCUUCAAGGAGGGCGAAACAGGCAAGGCAUGCAAUCUAUUCCAUGAAAUGACCCGUCAAGGGGUUGUGCCCAAUGUGGUCACGUAUAGCUCGAUUAUUGAUGCGUUGUGCAAGUCCAGAGCAAUGGACAAGGCAGAGCUAGUCCUUCAACAGAUGGUUGAUAGUGGUGCUCAACCGAAUAAUGUGACAUAUAAUUGCAUGAUCCAUGGAUAUUCCACAUCAGGGCAGUUGAAAGAGGCUGCUAAAAUGUUUAGAAAAAUGACAAGCCAUGGUCUUGUACCAAAUGCAGUCACUUGCAGCUCGUUAAUGACUUCCCUUUGCAAGCAUGGAAGAAGCAAAGAAGCGGCGGAAAUAUUUUAUUCCAUGACUGCCAAGGGCCACAAACCGGAUGCCGUCUCGUACCGUAUUUUGCUUCAUGGGUAUGCCAAUGAAGGAUGCUUUGCUGAUAUGAUUGAUCUCUUUAAUUCAAUGAAAAGCAACGGUAUUGCAGCCGACUGCCGUGUUUUCACCAUAUUAAUUGAUGCAUAUGCUAAACGCGGAAUGAUGGAUGAUGCAAUGCACAUAUUUGCGGAAAUGCGGGAAAAAGGAGUGAGUCCCAAUGUAGUCACCUAUGCCACUGUAAUAGCCGCACUUUGCAGAUUGGGUAGGCUGGCCGAUGCUAUGGACAGGUUCAAUGAGAUGACUGAUAUGGGUGUACAGCCGAACACAGCUGUUUAUCACUCCCUAAUUCAGGGUUUUUGUAUGCAUGGUGAUUUGGGUAAAGCCAAGGAGUUAGUUUCUGACAUGAUAAGCAAAGGUAUUCCUCGUCCCAACAUUGUGUUCUUCAAUUCAGUUAUAAACUAUUUGUGCAAAGAAGGAAGGAUUAUGGAUGCACAAGAUAUCUUUGAAUUGGUUAUAAUCAUAGAUGGGAAGCCUGAUGUCAUUACAUUUAACUCACUGAUUGACGGACAUUGCUUAGUCGGCAAGAUGGAUAAAGCAUUUGGAGUACUUGAUGCCAUGUUGUCAGCUGGCAUUGAGCCUAAUGUUGUUACAUAUAAUACACUUGUUAAUGGCUAUUCUAGAAAUGGAAGGAUCGAUGAUGGUUUGACUCUGUUCAGACAAAUGCCACGUAAGAGAAUAAAACCUGACAGUGCCACAUAUGGGAUCAUACUGGAUGGGUUGUUUCGUGCUGGGAGAACUGUUGCUGCAAGGAAAAUGUUCCAUGAUAUGAUCGAAAGCGGAAUAACAGUGAGCAUUUCCACAUACAAUAUUAUACUUGCAGGUCUUUCUAGAAACAAUUGUGCAGAAGAAGCGAUCGACCUGUACCAGAAAUUAGUUGCAAUGAAUGUGAAGUUCAAUAUUUCAAUAAUCAAUACCAUGAUCAAUGCAAUGUACAAGGUUAAAAGAAAAGAGGAAGCUAAAGAUUUGUUUGCUGCUAUAUCAGCGAGUGGGUUGGUUCCUAAUGCUUCGACUUAUGGAGUAAUGAUAAUAAAUAUUCUAAAAGAUGGAGCAGUGGAAGAUGCUAACAAUAUGUUCUCAGCAAUGGACAGGAAUGGUAUAGCUCCCUGCUCUCGUCUUAUAAAUAGUAUUAUCAGAAUUUUGCUCAAAAAGGUGAGAUCACCAUGGCCGGACUUUAUUUGUUGA
rnacentral:rRNA from 1 species